GAUGAAGAACGCAGCGAAAUGCGAUAAGUAAUGUGAAUUGCAGAUUUCAGUGAAUCAUCGAAUCUUUGAACGCACCUUGCGCCUUGUGGUAUUCCACAAGGCAUGCCCGUUUGAGUAUCAUUAAAUCAUCAACUCUAAAACCUUUGUGGUUUUUUUAGAGCUUGGUCUUGAGGGUUUUGCAGGCUUUUUUUUUCGAGUCUGCUCCCUUUAAAUGCAUUAGCGAGACUUCCCUAUGCUGAACCGUCUCUUUGACGUGAUAAGUAUCUGCGUCGAAUUUUGGUUCUCGUUGGGCUUGCUUCUAAUCGUCUGUUAAAGACAAAACGGAUUUGGGUGCAUAUAUGCGCCUUUUUCCAAAACCUUUUUUGAUCUCAAAUCGGGUAGGACUACCCGCUGAACUUAAGCAUAUCAAUAGCGGAGGA
rnacentral:misc_RNA from 1 species